ACGCACGCUGGCGGCGUGCCUAAUACAUGCAAGUAGAACGCUGAAGGAGGAGCUUGCUCUUCUGGAUGAGUUGCGAACGGGUGAGUAACGCGUAGGUAACCUGCCUGGUAGCGGGGGAUAACUAUUGGAAACGAUAGCUAAUACCGCAUAACAGUAGAUGUUGCAUGACAUUUACUUAAAAGGUGCAAUUGCAUCACUACCAGAUGGACCUGCGUUGUAUUAGCUAGUUGGUGGGGUAACGGCUCACCAAGGCGACGAUACAUAGCCGACCUGAGAGGGUGAUCGGCCACACUGGGACUGAGACACGGCCCAGACUCCUACGGGAGGCAGCAGUAGGGAAUCUUCGGCAAUGGACGGAAGUCUGACCGAGCAACGCCGCGGGAGUGAAGAAGGUUUUCGGAUCGUAAAGCUCUGUUGUAAGAGAAGAACGAGUGUGAGAGUGGAAAGUUCACACUGUGACGGUAUCUUACCAGAAAGAGACGGCUAACUACGUG
rnacentral:rRNA from 1 species